ACUGUGGUUUUCUUUCAUGCACAUGUGUAGGUUUCGUAAUGAGUGGUGGUUCAAAGGCUAAAGGAAAGAACGUUACUUCACAAGAUGAUGGAGGAGAACGGGACGGGAGGUCACUUCCAAAAGAAAUAAGAACAAACCUGGAAAAUCAUGUGCCUCUUCUUCUUCUUCUCAUUUUGGGUGAAGGGAGGGGCAAUACUUGGGGAUCACAAGCUAAUGUUCGGGGACAAGCAAUGAACAGAGAGAGUAUGGUAAUAACAAUGUCACUCCAUCCAGUAAAUCCCUCUCCUCUGGAAGGAGCAGGUCCUGACGUUGAUGACGUACGUUGUGGGUAAUGUCUCUGAGGAAGAGGAUGAUUACGAUAGUUUGGAUGAUUCUGAUGAAGAUUACGACGACUACGACUCUGGAAGGAGCAGGUCCUGACGAUAGUUUGGUCAUCAUUAUGAAUACUAUGCUCGACAAUGAUAAGUAUAUGGGUAUGGGCAACUCGGAGCUACUGGAAUACUUCAACGAGUAUCCGCAUGCCAUUCCUAUGGUCCAGAGGGCCACCGUGGGAUGAGUGUCCUGAUCUUUGAGAGUAGCGCCUCAGGCUAUUUUGAAGCUGAGUGCCUACACAAGGACUUGGCUGAGAAAGGAUUAGAUAGAAAUGGCAAUUUUUUUUCUGGAGGUGUUCGCCAGCUAUAUGGAUUUAUAGCAACCAAAAAAGAUAUGGAUGAAUUCAAUGAACACUGUCAAGGUUCUCUCCCUUACAAAAUGAUUUAUGUUUUCAAGCCUUGUUGGUCCUUGUGAGUGUAGUAUGAGCAAGAAGCUGCGUAGAACCGCAGAGGAUAACCGUAUCGUAAGAUGCAGCAUGAGCAGAACAGAGAAGAGAUGGAUGCACAAGAAAGGUUUUUCUCAGAGUCCAUAAAGCAGAUACAUAUGACAAUAGAGUUCCAAAGGAGGAGGAUUUCAAUAUGUUGCAGCAGGAGGAGCGUGCCAAAGUUUUGCACCAGCAGCAGAAGAAUAGCACUAAUCUCUCCAGCAAAGAUGAUAUACGAAAGAGAGCUGCAGAGGUUUCAAGUUUCAUGGAGUUACAAGAGAAAGAAAAAGAGCAUGAGAAGAAGAUGAUAGAGAUGCAGAAGAAGCAUACCGAGGAGAUGCUUGACUUGGAGAGAGAUUUUGAUAAGUCUUUGGAGGAGUUCAUGAACAAGCAUUGCCUUCACGGUGCACACGACUGAGAUCAGCCCACUACACACAAAACUACUAUUUUUUCAUGUUCUGCUUUUGGGUUUUGGCAU